UGUGUAGGCUGUGCGUAGCCACGAUUUAGCUCGUAUUCAGACCCGGCUAUUGUAGCCCACUUUUUGUCAAAACUGAUUAAUUGUAUUUUUUUGCCAGGCAGUGCAUGAAAUGGUUAAUAUUCAAUCAUGUUCGCAUUGGUAUGAUAUCAAGGUUCAAUACGUCAUUUCACGGCAUGGUAGAUCACGAUUUAGCUCCGAAUUGGACGGGCUAUAUGCGGUCUGCUUUAGCCCACCUGGCGAAAUUAUUGCAAUCUGGGCUCAGAUAUAGACCAGCGACCUAGAAUAUUAGUCUUUGAAAUGUUUUCGCUUACACAGCUUAAUAUAUAUUUUCUGUCAAACAUUCAUACACAAUCUACGAUAAAAAUAUCUAAUCAAAUGCAAUUGCAUUUCCCAACCGCUAGAUGGCACAAUUGAAACACUACUGAGACAUGUCUACUGGAACUAAUGCCAUUGCGUGACUAGAUCACUUAAGCCAAAUCUCGCGAUAAACAUUUCCGCCAUUUUAUUUUACACGAGGCAGCUGUCGGAGAGCAACGGGUGAGCAACAGUCUGAGUGAAAACCUUCACAUUUCUACUUCGAUCUUAAGAAAGCCAUACAGGUUUGGAACCAAGUGAAAACGCAGUGAUGACCAGCUUUCCAUCAGCUAUGGAAUGUGAAAUAAAAAAUGCUAUUUCUAAUCAUUUCAAACAAGCACCAGGGAGGGCAGGGGGUGGGGGUUAUGGAUCUAAAGUAAACAGUUAAUUCUUAAAAAUUAAUUGUUUUACAUAUUUUUCCAAUGUUUUAUUUGUUCAUUUUUAUGUUUGAAUGUUGUCCAAGUUGU